GUUAAGCGACUAAGCGUACACGGUGGAUGCCCUGGCAGUCAGAGGCGAUGAAGGACGUGCUAAUCUGCGAUAAGCGUCGGUAAGGUGAUAUGAACCGUUAUAACCGGCGAUUUCCGAAUGGGGAAACCCAGUGUGUUUCGACACACUAUCAUUAACUGAAUCCAUAGGUUAAUGAGGCGAACCGGGGGAACUGAAACAUCUAAGUACCCCGAGGAAAAGAAAUCAACCGAGAUUCCCCCAGUAGCGGCGAGCGAACGGGGAGGAGCCCAGAGCCUGAAUCAGUGUGUGUGUUAGUGGAAGCGUCUGGAAAGGCG
rnacentral:rRNA from 1 species